CCCACCUAGACAGAUCAUGGCUGGAAUUCUUACACAGUCAUUACACAGCACCAUUUAUCUUGCUUAGUGUCUCGCAGGAAUGGAGAGGACGCAGACAUUGACAGACUGCAGGAGAUUUAUUACCUUGGCCACUGAGGAGGGGAGUAAAGAACAAACACAACGCUUUUCAUCUCACUGUGACAGAGUGGCAGGGGAAGAAGUAAAACAUGGUCAAUACACUCCUGGGAAUACAUGGCUGCUGGUUUACUAAGAGGAAUGAGAAUGCCUGGGAACAGAUUACUGGAGGUGCUCAACUACAGUGACAGUGCUAUGCCUGUGGAAUGCAGCUUGCACGCAUGAGAUGUCUGGCACUGGUUUCACAACACUGCUCAGAUGUUCCAUGAAUCACCACUGGUGUGUGGGCAAUGGCUGAAAAACACUGCACCAGAAAACUGUCUACACUCUGAAUUAACGCUUACUAGAGGCAAUGAAAACAUAUGUACUGAUUUAAACGUGAUGUGGAUCACACCUGCUGUGGACAUACAGAUAGACCCAAUAUAAUAUACCAUAGAACUGGAAAUUAUGUCAUCCUCUUUGUGUAAGUUGCACUACUAAAUUGGAAAAUGGAGGCUUGCCCAAAUACCACACAAGCAGAGCAUACUCUUUGGAGUAUGAAGACUUUCAACCCAUUAGCUCUGCUGGACCAGACUAGCACCUUACCUUGGAACCAAGCCUAUUUGAUGUAAGAAAUCAACUGUCUUUC